rnacentral:lncRNA from 1 species
GUGGGCACUACAUUGCCUACUGCAGAAACAAUUUAAAUAACCUGUGGUAUGAGUUUGAUGACCAGAGCGUCACUGAAGUUUCAGAGUCCACCGUACAGAAUGCCGAAGCCUACGUCCUUUUCUACAGGUGAGGGGAACUGUCAGGACCAUGUGAAGAACAUGUCUUCACAGGGAUUUGUGCUUCUGAGACUCUUGGAGUUUAUAGGUGAAGACUAGAAAUUCUGUGUACUCUCAUGAGUGAGAUCAAGAACGUGUUUACAGAACGAUACUUUGUUUAGAAAAUGAAGACUUCAUAGCUAGGCAAAGGGAUAUAUUAUUGUGCUUUAAAUAGUUCUUUGUAAGUAAAGUUUUUAGUUUAUUGUAUGUGUAUGGGUAUUUUGCAUGUCUGUGUGUCUGUGUACCACACUUGCUUGGUGGCUGACGAGGUCAGAAGAGGGCCUCAGAUCUGCUGUACCUGGAGUUACGGCUAGGUGUGAGCUGCCAUGUAUGUUCUAGGAUCUAACCGAGGUCCUCCAAAGAAUAACAAGUAUUCUGAACUGCCAAGUUGUCUCUCCAGCCCCUCACUUCUUUCUUUAACAUGUAUGUAUGUAUGUAUGUAUGUAUGUAUGUAUGUAUGUAUGUAUGUAUGUGUAUAUGGAUGUAUAUGCCUGUCUUCAUGCACCAAAGGUCAUCUGUUCAAACAACAACUUCUGG